rnacentral:rRNA from 1 species
GAGUUUGAUCUUGGCUCAGAUUGAACGCUGGCGGCAGGCCUAACACAUGCAAGUCGAGCGGAUGAAGGGAGCUUGCUCCUGGAUUCAGCGGCGGACGGGUGAGUAAUGCCUAGGAAUCUGCCUGGGUAGUGGGGAGUAACGUCCGGAAACGGGACGCUAAUACCGCAUACGUCCUGAGGGAGAAAGUGGGGGAGUCUUCGGACCUCACGCUAUCAGACGAGCCUAGGUCGGAUUAGCUAGUUGGUGGGGUAAAGGCCUACCAAGGCGACGAUCCGUAACUGGUCUGAGAGGAUGAUCAGUCACACUGGAACUGAGACACGGUCCAGACUCCUACGGGAGGCAGCAGUGGGGAAUAUUGGACAAUGGGCGGAAAGCCUGAUCCAGCCAUGCCGCGUGUGUGAAGAAGGUCUUCGGAUUGUAAAGCACUUUAAGUUGGG